rnacentral:rRNA from 1 species
GACAGAGGGUGCAAACGUUGUUCGGAAUUACUGGGCGUAAAGCGCGUGUAGGCGGCACGGCAAGUCGGAUGUGAAAGCCCGCGGCUCAACCGUGGAAGUGCACUCGAAACUGCCGAGCUAGAGUCUCGGAGAGGAAGGUGGAAUGCUUGGUGUAGAGGUGAAAUUCGUAGAUAUCAAGCAGAACACCUGUGGCGAAGGCGGCCUUCUGGACGAUGACUGACGCUGAGGCGCGAAAGCGUGGGGAGCAAACAGG